ACAGUACAUCACCUUCAUGAGCGCAUCAGUGAACACCAGUCUAAGGAAGACAUCUCUGAACGUAAUUUUGGAGAUUUUGAUGAGUUCCAUUGAAACAAGGAGGAAUGUGAUGUCCAGUAUCAGUUCUGCAGACCCAAGGACAAAGAAAAUUCUGUGAUAAACUCAUCCAGUGUGACUGUAAUGUGGGUAUCUAUUUGAUACCUCCAAGUAACUGUUUAUUCUUGUGCCAGUUGAGUAGAUGGUACGGGCCAGUUGGUGUUGAUUAGUGAACCACGGACAAAGGGCAUAUGUCACAUGAGUUGCUCCUGGAUAAAGUCACCCAGUCACUUCCUGAUGAAUAUCCUGCAUAAACUCCAAAGACAAAAGAGAGAUACAAGACACCGGACUUUCAAAUCAACAAUUGUUUCAAAAGACUCCUACUGGAUUCCUGCUAGUGAUGGGAGAAAAUUAUCAUUCUAUGAAAAGAAUAUGUCUAAGAUCCUGUUAACAGCAGAACUUAGACUGCUAGCCCUGCUGGAAAUUUUCCAUGCUCUUCAUUCGUUCUCCUGUAUUUCCUAACGCCAAUAAAAGAGGAGAUCCCUGA
rnacentral:lncRNA from 1 species